UACGUAGGGGGCAAGCGUUGUCCGGAAUCAUUGGGCGUAAAGCGCGUGUAGGUGGCUUGGUAAGUCCGGUGUGAAACCUUGGGGCUCAACCCCAAGCCUGCAUCGGAUACUGCCUCGCUUGAGUUCGGGAGGGGAGAGCGGAAUUCCUAGUGUAGGGGUGAAAUGCGCAGAUGUUAGGAAGAACACCGGUGGCGAAGGCGGAUCUCGGGCCUUACCUGACGCUCAGGCGCGAAAGCUAGGGGAGCGAACAGG
rnacentral:rRNA from 1 species